AUCUGUCUCGCUCACGGUGAUGUCCAGGUUGCCCAGGAACAGCGUGCGGUUGGCUCUCUGGUCGUCCUCCGGGCUGAUCUCCUCCUCGCUGGCAGCUCCGGCGCCCCCGCCUCCUCCGCGGAAGCCCCCGGCAGCCGCCACACCGGCCACCCGCUCCAGCCCAUAGGCCGGCCGCACUCGUGCUUCGUAGAAGCCCCCGUAGUCCCUCUCCCUCUCCAGCUCCCUGGGCAGAGGGGGUGGAGGCGGCAGGCGGCCGAGGGCGAGCUGCUGCAGCCGGUAGUCUCGAUAGCCCAGGGCCCCGCCGCUGCCGGCGGGGGACAAGGCCCGCUGCGUCGCCCCGGCCGGGGGGUGCCGCACAGCCGCUGCCGCCGCCGCCGCGACCCCCACGGCCGCCGCGCCGUAGGGCGACUCCUUGUCCAGCAGCGCCGGGGAGCGGCUGCCGCGCCGCCGGCCACUCCCUCCGCCGCUCCCCACGUAGACGGCCUCGAUCUUCAGCGGGCGGUCGUAGAGCACGAGGCGGCCGCGGGCGUGCUUGGCGGCGCGGGCGUCCUCGGGCCUGCGGAAGUUGACGAAGGCCACGCGCUCGUCGGCGGCGCCGGUGCCGGGCGGGAGGCGGCUGAUUUUGACGCUCACGUCGCCGAAGCGCUUGAACUCGUGGAAGAGCCCGUCCUCCACCGCCUCGUCGCUCAGCGCCGAGCCCAGCUCGCUGAUCUUCAGCGUCUUGUACUCGCCGCCGCCGCCCGCCUCGGAGGACGGGGCGGCCGCCGCCGGGGCCCGGGACUCGCCCCCGCCGCCGCCCCGGCUGCUGCCGCUCCGCGACGGCUCCGCGGCUUUGCCACCGCCGUAGCCGUGCCGCCCGCCCCCGCCGCCCGCCGCCGCCGCCGCCCCGGCCUCAUACUCGCGGCUGCCGGCGCGGGCGGCCUUGUCCGGGUGCGGGCCCCGCCGUCCGCCGCCGCCGUCCGCCGAGGCCGCCGCCGCCUUCCCGCCGCCGCCAUUGGAGCCGCCGGAGCCGCCCGGCUUCUUGCCGCUCCGCUCGCCGCGCGCCGCCGCCGCCGAGGAGGAGGAGGAGGAGGCCGAGUCCUCGCCGCCGCCCCGCGAGCGCUUGGCCUUGGCGGGGGAGCGCUCCUUGCCCUUCAUGGCGGCGGGCGGCGGCCGGGCCCCCCCCGCGCCCCGGCGGCCUCCCCGACUGCCCGCCCGCCGCGCUCACGCACCCGCCGCCAUCUUGGAAGCCGCGGCGGCCGCCGGCCCCGCCCCCUCGGCGCCCAUUGGCCGCCCGGCGCCGGCCCGCCGCCCUCGUUGGCCGCCUCGGCCCCGCCGGGCGGAAGGCCCGCCCGGCCCCGCGCCCUCCUCCCCGCGAUUGGCUCGGGGAGCCGUCCGUCCGCCGGCCGGCCUCCCGCGCCCGCGAGGAGGGGGCGGGAGGAGCCGGGCCCACACCCCCCGCCCCGCCCCGCCCGCUCACUGGACGGUUAG
rnacentral:lncRNA from 1 species